rnacentral:lncRNA from 1 species
UUUUAGGUCAAACCAUCAAAGAAGAAAAAAUUAGUACCAACACAAAUACUACUAUUUCUCUCCUAUAAACUAUAUAUGUCGAACAAAUCUAAAGGAAAGUCGACAUUAGUCCCCCAAGUUUGGGGAAUGGGAUGCCAAUGAUUCAUCAUCUGCCAAUGGAUACACUGUGAUAUUCAAUAAAAUUAAAGAGGAAAAAAGGGGUGGGAAAUUUCAAUCACCCCCAAAUAAUUCAGCAUCCAAUGCUCAUAAACGUAAAGAUUUUCUUGGAAAGACUCUAUCCGUAAGUUCUUUCUUUUUCUUUCCACUUUACUUGCUUUUAUCACUUUACAAUUUAAUUUUCUAUUUUCUCAAGGAUUUUUUUUUUUGUCAUUCUGCUACAAUUUGUUGGCACGUAGGGUAGUUCAUAUUUCUUAUUCUUGUUGCAAUUAUCUAGUAAGUUAAAGCUCUAUGCAUAUUCCAAUAACUUCUUGAAGAAUUA